rnacentral:rRNA from 1 species
UACGUAGGGUGCGAGCGUUGUCCGGAAUUAUUGGGCGUAAAAGGGCUCGUAGGCGGUUUGUCGCGUCGGGAGUGAAAAUCCAGGGCUUAACUCUGGACUGGCUCCGAUACGGGCAGACUAGAGGUAUGCAGGGGAGAACGGAAUUCCUGGUGUAGCGGUGAAAUGCGCAGAUAUCUGGAGGAACACCGGUGGCGAAGGCGGCGUUCUGGACUGCAUCUGACACUGAAAGACGAAAGCCAGGGGAGCAAACGGG